rnacentral:rRNA from 1 species
AAUAUUGGACAAUGGGCGAAAGCCUGAUCCAGCCAUGCCGCGUGUGUGAAGAAGGUCUUCGGAUUGUAAAGCACUGUUGUUAGGGAAGAACAAGUACCGGAGUAACUGCCGAUACCUUGACGGUACUGUAAGAAUAAGGAUCGGCUAACUCCGUGCCAGCAGCCGCGGUAAUACGGAGGAUCCAAGCGUUAUCCGGAAUCAUUGGGUUUAAAGGGUCCGUAGGCGGCCUUAUAAGUCAGCGGUGAAAGUUUUUGGCUUAACCAAAAAAUUGCCGUUGAUACUGUAGGGCUUGAAUUUUUGUGAAGUAACUAGAAUAUGUAGUGUAGCGGUGAAAUGCUUAGAUAUUACAUGGAAUACCAAUUGCGAAGGCAGGUUACUAACAAACGAUUGACGCUGAUGGACGAAAGCGUGGGUAGCGAAC